GUGAUAGAUGGGGACAUCUGAUAAAAUCGAAACAAUACAGAGAAAAUUAGUAUAUCUCUUGCACAAAAAUGAUACGCUCACAUUGAGAAGAAAAAAAAACAAAG